AUAUGACAAAUAGCAAAUUGCACAAUGAGGAAACAUCUCUGGACUGAGAAAAGCUGUGGGUGCAACUGCAUGUGCAUCCACUAACUUCUGAAAGGCUUCUGCUUUAAAAAAAAAAAAACAGUUCUGAAUUUUCCAGAAGCAGGCCUGUCUUAUAGAAAUUAAAUUGAGUAACUUGGACCUUAAUCGGAGAACUUCCACAAUCUAGAAUAUGUCCACGCUGGAGCAUCACUGACAGCUGUGUCUUCUACAGGAAGUUGGAGGGAAAAGUUGUCUGACAGAAAAUAUCCGGAGUUCUCGUUUGCUGUGAGGGGGAAAGUGACUCCAUUGUCGGCCCGUUUUAAUGAGCUUUGCCAGCAGCCUGAGCACCACACAAAGCUGCAGCCCCGGCCUCACGACUCCUCAAUGAGGGACAAGAAAAAGCCGAAACUGCUAACUUCAAGCAGAAACGUCUUAAUCGGCUCAAUCACGGUGUUGGUAACGAGUGGCGUAAACUGCGAGCGGCGCAACCAUGUGAAGGUGCAGGACCGCACAGCAACACUGACAGAGGAGCAGCUUUAACGCACAACCUGCAGCAGGAUAAAGCAACUCCUCGGUUGAAUGAAUUGAAUUUCUCUUUGGUGCAUGGAGGUAACUUCUGGGCUGAACUCUGGACAGAUAUUUAAUGAGCUGACACAAACCAGAGACUGAUGAUGACAGGAUAAAUAAACACGGGCGACAAUUAUCCACUAGCGUACUUAAUGGGCAUCACCACAGGUGUCACCCAGCUCAUUAACGAUCAACGGGAGAUGCGAAUACAGACAUAUUU
rnacentral:lncRNA from 1 species